rnacentral:siRNA from 1 species
GGAAGAUACUGUGUCAUCGGCGGC